rnacentral:rRNA from 1 species
CAGCCGCCGCGGUAAUACGAAGGGUGCAAGCGUUAAUCGGAAUUACUGGGCGUAAAGCGUGCGCAGGCGGUUUGUUAAGACAGAUGUGAAAUCCCCGGGCUCAACCUGGGAACUGCAUUUGUGACUGGCAAGCUAGAGUGUGGCAGAGGGGGGUGGAAUUCCGCGUGUAGCAGUGAAAUGCGUAGAUAUGCGGAGGAGCACCGAUGGCGAAGGCAGCCCCCUGGGCCAACACUGACGCUCAUGCACGAAAGCGUGGGGAGCAAACAGGAUUAGAUACCCCCGUAGUCCCUGUCUCUUAUAC